rnacentral:rRNA from 1 species
UACAGAGGGUGCGAGCGUUGUUCGGAAUUAUUGGGCGUAAAGGGCGCGUAGGCGGUGCGGUAAGUCACCUGUGAAAUCUCCUGGCUCAACUGGGAGCUUGCAGGCGAAACUGCCGUGCUGGAGUGUGGGAGAGGUGCGUGGAAUUCCUGGUGUAGCGGUGAAAUGCGUAGAUAUCAGGAGGAACACCUGUGGCGAAGGCGACUUACUGGACUGUAACUGACGCUGAGGCAUGAAAGCGUGGGGAGCAAACAGG